rnacentral:lncRNA from 9 species
GCGGCUGGAGGGGAGCACACCGCGGAGGCAGUGCCCAGAGAGGUGCGCAUCUCUCCGCCCCGCCCCUCCCCCUCGGCCUCGUGGCGGCGGCGGCGGUGGCAGCAGCAGUAGCGGUGCUGGCGGCUUGGAGAACUGGAGAGCCGGGCAGCCCAGAUCUGAGUCGAGUCUGAGACCUACACCACAGCUCACAGCAACACGGAAUCCUUAACCCACUGAGCUAGGCCAGGGAUCGAACUUGCGUCCUCAUGCAUACGAGUCAGAUUCAUUUCCACUGAGCCACGACAGGAACUCCCUAAAUAUAUUUGUUAAUAAACCAAUGGUUCUCCAGACUUUUCAGCAUACUGAGUGCUAAAGCAAACAAGAGAUUCUUCUCAAAAUAUGUUGGUGGCUUGAGAGAUGUCAUGACCAAGUGGUGAUCUAUACAGAAGCUUGCAGUGGAUCAAUGUGGCAUCUCAGUUCCCAGGCCAGGGAUUGGAUGGCGGUGGUGAAAGUGCAAAAAAGCCCUAAUCACUAACCCAGCAGGGAGCUCCAGAUAUGGUGUCACACAAGGAGUCAGCAAAGUGCCAGCUGAAUCUUCACAGUCCUCUCUAAUGUCCCAAGUGCUUCAGAAAAUGAAUCUAUUUGAGAUAAGUGAUAUGUUCCUCUGACUCUCAGAUCUAAACACA